AUUGAACGCUGGCGGCAGGCCUAACACAUGCAAGUCGAGCGAGCGGCGGACGGGUGAGUAAUGUCUGGGAAACUGCCUGAUGUAGGGGGAUAACUACUGGAAACGGUAGCUAAUACCGCAUACCAUCAGAUGUGCCCAGAUGGGAUUAGCUAGUAGGUGGGGUAACGGCUCACCUAGGCGACGAUCCCUAGCUGGUCUGAGAGGAUGACCAGCAACACUGGAACUGAGCAACGGUCCAGACUCCUACGGGAGGCAGCAGGGGGGAAUAUUGCACAAUGGGCGCAAGCCUGAUGCAGCCAUGCCGCGUGUAGGAAGAAGGCCUUCGGGUUGUAAAGCACUUUCAGCGGGGAGGCGUUACCCGCAGAAGAAGCACCGGCUAACUCCGUGCCAGCAGCCGCGGUAAGUC
rnacentral:rRNA from 1 species